rnacentral:rRNA from 1 species
UCUAGUUGAUCCUGCUAGAGGACACUGCUAUCGGCUUGGGGUUAAGACAUGCAAGUGGAACGGGCUCGCAUCCGAGUCCGUCGCGAACGGCUCAGUAGUGUCGCUAACCUACCCUGUGGAGGCGGACACCGCCGGGAAACUGGCGUUAAUCCGCCGUAGGAGCAUUGUUCUGGAAAUGAUGUUGCUCCGAUAUGGGUGCCCUAGGUAUGUUGGGCUCUCCGCCGCCCCGAACGGGCGAUGUAAGUCGUGGCCCGGAGAAGGGCACUGAGACAAGGGCCCUAGCCCCACGGGGUGCAGCAGUUACGAAACCUCACCAAUGUGCGAAAGCACGAGUGGGCCAAGCCGAGUGAUGGGGGAUAACUCCAUCUGUGGCGCAUCCGUAGGGAGGAGCGCUAGAAAGGAGAGGGCAAGGCUGGUGCCAGCCGCCGCGGUAAAACCAGCUCUUCGAGUGGUGUCCACAAUUAUUGAGCUUAAAGCGUCCGUAGCCGGUUUGGUAGGUCCCUGCUUAAAUCCGGCCGCCCAACGGUCGGCCUGGUAGGGAUACCGCCUUACUUGGGAGCGGGAGACGGUGACGGUAUUCCAUAGGUAAGGGUGAAAUCUAAUGAUCUAUGGAGGACCACCAGUGGCGAAGGCGGUCGCCGAGAACGCGUCCCCGACGGUGAGGGACGAAACCCAGGGGAGCGAAUCGGAUUAGAUACCCGAGUAGUCCUGGGCGUAAACGAUGCCCGUUAAGUGUUGCAUUGGCCACGAGCCACUGCGGUGCUGUAGCGAAAGCGAUAAACGGGCCGCUUGGGAAGUACGGUCGCAAGACUGAAUUUCCUCCAGGUUUGAGGAAAUCUGAAGGGGUGGGCUUUAUACGGGAUGACCAUUAACUAGAAGACGAUGA